UGCAGUCGAGGGCAGCGCGGGAGCAAUCCUGGCGGCGAGUGGCGAACGGGUGAGUAAUACAUCGGAACGUGCCCAAUCGUGGGGGAUAACGCAGCGAAAGCUGUGCUAAUACCGCAUAAGAUCUACGGAUGAAAGCAGGGGAUCGCAAGACCUUGCGCGAAUGGAGCGGCCGAUGGCAGAUUAGGUAGUUGGUGAGGUAAAGGCUCACCAAGCCUUCGAUCUGUAGCUGGUCUGAGAGGACGACCAGCCACACUGGGACUGAGACACGGCCCAGACUCCUACGGGAGGCAGCAGUGGGGAAUUUUGGACAAUGGGCGAAAGCCUGAUCCAGCCAUGCCGCGUGCAGGAUGAAGGCCUUCGGGUUGUAAACUGCUUUUGUACGGAACGAAAAGGUUCUUUCUAAUAAAGAGAGCUCAUGACGGUACCGUAAGAAUAAGCACCGGCUAACUACGUGCCAGCAGCCGCGGUAAUACGUAGGGUGCAAGCGUUAAUCGGAAUUACUGGGCGUAAAGCGUGCGCAGGCGGUUAUGUAAGACAGUUGUGAAAUCCCCGGGCUCAACCUGGGAACUGCAUCUGUGACUGCAUAGCUAGAGUACGGUAGA
rnacentral:rRNA from 1 species